rnacentral:rRNA from 1 species
AUACGGAGGAUCCGAGCGUUAUCCGGAUUUAUUGGGUUUAAAGGGAGCGUAGGCGGACUAUUAAGUCAGCUGUGAAAGUUUGCGGCUCAACCGUAAAAUUGCAGUUGAUACUGGUCGUCUUGAGUGCAGUAGAGGUAGGCGGAAUUCGUGGUGUAGCGGUGAAAUGCUUAGAUAUCACGAAGAACUCCGAUUGCGAAGGCAGCUUACUGGACUGUAACUGACGCUGAUGCUCGAAAGUGUGGGUAUCAAACAGGAUUAGAUACCCUGGUAGUCCACACAGUAAACGAUGAAUACUCGCUGUUUGCGAUAUACGGCAAGCGGCCAAGCGGAAGCAUUAAGUAUUCCACCUGGGGAGUACGCCGGCAACGGUGAAACUCAAAUGAAUUGGCGGGG